GAGGGGCAGGGUUCUCUCUUGAGAGUGUAGCCAGCUCUUGGUGUUCUGUGCUGCAGUGACCAUUUGCCAUUGAGGACCAUGCUUUUCUUUCCUUGGGAGAUCAUGAGGGAGAAGACAC
rnacentral:snRNA from 1 species